rnacentral:misc_RNA from 1 species
AACGCACGAGACCUGCGGACCUGCGGAGGGAUCAUUACUGACGGGUCAUCCUAAACCUCGGUUUAGAGCCCGCUGGGAUAGACACCCUUGAUUUUGAGUACCUUUUCGUUUCCUCGGCGGGUCCGCUCGCCGGUGGACAACCAAAAACUCUUUGUAAUAGCAGUAUCUUCUGAGAAAAAACAAAUAGUCAAAACUUUCAACAACGGAUCUCU